UACAGAGGUCCCGAGCGUUGUUCGGAUUCAUUGGGCGUAAAGGGUGCGUAGGCGGUUUUCUAAGUUUGAUGUGAAAUCCCGGGGCUCAACCCUGGAAUUGCAUUGAAUACUGGGAGACUAGAGUACUGGAGAGGAAACUGGAAUUUACGGUGUAGCAGUGAAAUGCGUAGAGAUCGUAAGGAAGACCAGUGGCGAAGGCGAGUUUCUGGACAGUUACUGACGCUGAGGCACGAAGGCCAGGGGAGCAAACGGG
rnacentral:rRNA from 1 species